rnacentral:rRNA from 1 species
ACCGUCCUAGUCUCAACAAUAAACGAUGCCGACCAGGGAUCGGCGGAUGUUGCUUUUAGGACUUCGCCAGCACCUUAUGAGAAAUUGCAUUUGCCAAGGAUGUUUUCAUUAAUCAAGAACGAAAGUUGGGGGCUCGAAGACGAUCAGAUACCGUCCUAGUCUCAACCAUAAACGAUGCCGACCAGGGAUCGGCGGAUGUUGCUUUUAGGACUCCGCCGGCACCUUAUGAGAAAUCAAAGUCUUUGGGUUCCGGGGGGAGUAUGGUCACAAGGCUGAAACUUAAAGGAAUUGACGGAAGGGCACCACCAGGAGUGGAGCCUAUGGCUUAAUUUGACUAAACACGGGGAAACUUACCAGGUCCAAACAUAGUAAGGAUUGACAGACUGAGAGCUCUUUCUUGAUUCUAUAGGUGGUGGUGCAUGGCCGUUCUUAGUUGGUGGAGCGAUUUGUCUAGUUAAUUCCGUUAACGAAUGAGACCUCAGCCUGCUAACUAGCUACACGGAGGUGAUCCUUUGUGGCUAGCUUCUUAGAGGGACUCUGGCCUUUUAGGCCACGGAAGUUAGAGGCAAUAACAGGUCUGUGAUGCCCUUAGAUGUUCUAGGCCGCAUGCGCUCUACACUGAUGUAUUCAACGAGUCUAUAGCCUUGGCCGACAGGCCCGGGUAAUCUUUGAAAUUUCAUCGUGAUGGGGAUAGAUCAUUGCAAUUGUUAGUCUUCAACGAGGAAUUCCUAGUAAGCGCAAGUCAUCAGCUCGCGUUGACUACGUCCCUACCCUUUGUGCACACCGCCCUCUCUCCUACCGAUUGAAUGGUCCGGUGAAGUGUUCGGAUCGCGGCAACAUGGGUGGUUCGCUGCCCGCGACAUCGUGAGAAGUCCACUGAACCUUAUCAUUUAGACGAAGGAGAAGUCGUAACAAGGUUUCCGUAGGUGAACCUGCGGAAGG